GUAGUCCACGCCGUAAACGAUGAGUGCUAAGUGUUAGGGGGUUUCCGCCCCUUAGUGCUGCAGCUAACGCAUUAAGCACUCCGCCUGGGGAGUACGACCGCAAGGUUGAAACUCAAAGGAAUUGACGGGGACCUGCACAAGCGGUGGAGCAUGUGGUUUAAUUCGAAGCAACGCGAAGAACCUUACCAAAUCUUGACAUCCUCUGACCCCCUCUAGAGAUAGAGUUUUUCCCCCUUCGGGGGGACAGAGUGACAGGUGGUGCAUGGUUGUCGUCAGCUCGUGUCGUGAGAUGUUGGGGUUAAGUCCCGAACGAGCGCAACCCUUAAGCUUAGUUGCCAUCAUUAAGUUGGGCACUCUAAGUUGACUGCCGGUGACAAACCGGAGGAAGGUGGGGAUGACGUCAAAUCAUCAUGCCCCUUAUGAUUUGGGCUACACACGUGCUACAAUGGACAAUACAAAGGGCAGCGAACCGCGAGGUCAAGCAAAUCCCAUAAAGUUGUUCUCAGUUCGGAUUGUAGUCUGCAACUCGACUAUAUGAAGCUGGAAUCGCUAGUAAUCGUAGAUCAGCAUGCUACGGUGAAUACGUUCCCGGGUCUUGUACACACCGCCCGUCACACCACGAGAGUUUUGGUAACACCCCGGAAGCCGGUGGAGUAACCAUUUGGAGCUAGCCGUCGAAGGUGGGACAAAUGAUUGGGUNAGUCGUAACAAGGUAGCCGUAUCGGAAGG
rnacentral:rRNA from 1 species